GCCGGGUGCGGUGGCACACGCCUAUAAUCCCAGCAGCUCAGGAGGCUGAGACAGGAGGAUCGUGAGUUCAAAACCAUCUUCAGCAAUGGCGAGGCGCUAAGCAACUCAGUGAGACCCUGUCUCUA
rnacentral:sRNA from 1 species